rnacentral:rRNA from 1 species
UACGUAGGGUGCGAGCGUUGUCCGGAAUUAUUGGGCGUAAAGAGCUUGUAGGCGGUUUGUCGCGUCUGCCGUGAAAUUUCGGGGCUCAACCCCGAACUUGCGGUGGGUACGGGCAGACUAGAGUGUGGUAGGGGAGACUGGAAUUCCUGGUGUAGCGGUGAAAUGCGCAGAUAUCAGGAGGAACACCGAUGGCGAAGGCAGGUCUCUGGGCCACUACUGACGCUGAGAAGCGAAAGCAUGGGGAGCAAACAGG